rnacentral:rRNA from 1 species
GAUGAACGCUAGCUACAGGCUUAACACAUGCAAGUCGAGGGGCAGCAUGAUUGAAGCUUGCUUCAAUCGAUGGCGACCGGCGCACGGGUGAGUAACACGUAUCCAACCUGCCGAUAACUCGGGGAUAGCCUUUCGAAAGAAAGAUUAAUACCCGAUAGUAUAGUAUUUCCGCAUGGUUUCACUAUUAAAGAACUUCGGUUAUCGAUGGGGAUGCGUUCCAUUAGAUAGUUGGCGGGGUAACGGCCCACCAAGUCAACGAUGGAUAGGGGUUCUGAGAGGAAGGUCCCCCACAUUGGAACUGAGACACGGUCCAAACUCCUACGGGAGGCAGCAGUGAGGAAUAUUGGUCAAUGGACGAGAGUCUGAACCAGCCAAGUAGCGUGAAGGAUGACUGCCCUAUGGGUGGUAAACUUCUUUUAUACGGGAAUAAAGUGGAGUAUGCAUACUCCUUUGUAUGUACCGUAUGUAUAAGGAUCGGCUAACUCCGUG